CCUUUGUACACACCGCCCGUCGCUACUACCGAUUGAAUGGCUCAGUGAGGCUUUGGGACUGCCUAGAAGAGGUCGGCAACGACCACUUCCGGGCGGAAACUUAUCCAAACUCGGUCAUUUAGAGG
rnacentral:rRNA from 1 species